UUAAUGAAAGUCAUCAAAAGAGAAAAUAUUUUGUUCGUGACUUCAAUUUAGGCUGUAUUUUUAAAUCCAAAAAUUAGAAGACAUGAUGAAGAUUGCAACAAAGAUAACAUUUGUGAUGAUUCUUCUUGCUUUAGUAGCCACCAAUGGUAUUUUUUUUUAUCUUUUUUUUUCUUUCGAUAUCUAAAUUAUUGUAUUACCAAAGAUCAAUUAAUCUUGUUUACAACUGUGAUCGUCUCCCUUAAAAUAUAAUAUAACAUGUGUUUAUACUUUCUUUUUUUGCCUCUAAAAAGAUACUUCUAUAUAAAUUUUAGAAAAUGUACAUACGAUUUUUAAAAAAUGAUUAUUUUAAUCAGAACAAAAUAAGAUACCUUUAGUUAAACUAACCAACUUUUUGUUAAAAAAAAAUAAUCCAAAUUAGUACUUAAUUACAACUGAUGAACAAAUUAGUCACAAUUUAUUACUAACAAAUUUGAGAUCUUGAAUUAUAUUAUUACCAAACCCUCUAAUCCUCUUGACCCUUUUCUAAAAAAAACAUAAUAUUUAAAUAAGGUAGGUUGAUAAAGUUUGAUUAUUUUAUUCUCGUCAACAUUACGUCAUUGAUUAUUUUCUUAAUUAAUUAACAUUUAAUUCUAAUAUAUCAAGAGAUAUUUUACCUACUGCAUUUUUUUUUAGAAAAAAUUGAUCUAAACCAACAAUUAAUUAUAACUGCAUAAAUAAAUCAUAAUUAAUUACCAACAAAUUUGAGAUCAUGCAUUAUAUUUUUACCAAAUCCCCUAGCCAUCUUGGUGCCUUUAAAAAAAAAACUAUGUAAGUAAAGUAAUCAAAUUGAAAAAAUUAUGAUUUUAUUUUAGUCAACAUUACACCAUUGACUUUUCUCUUGGUUAAUUAAGAUUUUAGUCUAUCAAAAGAUAUUUUACCAAUUAUAUUUCUUUUUACCUAAAGAAUAUUACAAAUAAAUCAAAUCUAAAGUAGUUAUUAUUAUUAUUAUUAUUAUUAUUAUUAUUAUUAUUAUUUUUAACUAGUUUUUCAAUUUUCAAGUAAUUAUCACUUUAUUUAUAUGUACACAUAAUGAGAGAAUAUGGUCAACUUUAAUUUGUUUGUCACAAACUAAGAAUAGAAAGAAUUAAUUAAAAAAGAUCCAAAACUAAGUAUUUUAUGAAUAUAUUAUAAGUUAUUAUUAACUUUCGACAUUAAUCCAAUUCAAUAAAUAUGCAUGACAAGGCCUUGAUGGUGAAGAUCAAAAGAAAAUAUUUUGCUUGUGACUUUAACUUAGACCGUAUUUUUAAAUCCAAAAAAUUAGAAGUCAUGGUGAAGAUUGCAACAAAGAUAGCAUUUGUAAUGAUCCUUCUCGCUUUAGUAGUCACCAAUGGUAUUUUCUUUUUCAUCUCAUAUUUUCUUUUGAUAUCUAAAUUAUUGUAUUAUCAAAAACUAAUUAAUCUUGUUUAUAAUUGCCAUGGUCUCCCUUAAUAUAAAUUUUAAUUAUGUUACUUAAAUAUCAAAAGCUAAAAUAUAGUCCACAAAAAAGAGUCUAUUCUAGCAGUACAUGUUUAAACUAACUCAAUUUUAGUUGAUAUAACAUAUUUGUACUUUUUUUUUCUUUUUUUUUUUCCUCUAAAAAUAUAUUUUUCUAUAAAUUUUAGAAAAUUUACAUACGGCUUUUAAACAAUGAUGUUUUUAAUUAGAACAAAAAAUGACACUUUUAGUCAAACUAAAAAUGUGAAUUUUUUCAAAAAAAUAUAUAACGGAAUUUAAUAAAAUAUUUAUUUAAAACAUCAUCUAUUAAAAAUAAUAUUAAUUUCUAAUGAAAACCUUUUAAAACCAAUCCAGGCACAUUUAUUUUUUUUCUUCUUCCUCAAUGUAUGUGUUCAUUAAAAUAUUAUAAAUUGUUUAUGAUAAUCAAACUAUAUUAGUAAUGAUUAUCUUUUUUUUUUUAAUCUCUUUGUAGGGUUUGGUCUCCGAAAAAUACCAAGAAAGGUGGUGCCUCAAAGAGAUUGUCGUAAUGAUUGUAUACCUUUUAUAUUUAUUUGUCAUCCGAAAGUUCCUACGUGUGUGAAUGGAAAUUGUGUGUGUAUAGGGUUAGACAAUAAUAAUUCAAGCACAAAACAAGAACGCCACAAUAAUAUAGAUGGUGAAAAAUCAAAAUUAUUAGGCUAGUAUAUGCAUACCAUUAUUAUGAAUGCUUAUCUGCGGCUUGUGAUUUAUAGAUGGUAUGAAAUAAAUAAAAAUGCUAUAUAUUUACUAAAAAUUAGUCACCGA
rnacentral:lncRNA from 1 species